AUACGUAGGGUGCAAGCGUUAAUCGGAAUUACUGGGCGUAAAGCGUGCGCAGGCGGUUUUUGAAGGCAGAGGUGAAAUCCCCGGGCUCAACCUGGGAACUGCCUUUUUGACUGCAAGGCGAGAGUACCGCAGAGGGGGGUGGAAUUCCCGGGGUAAGAGUGGAAGGCGUAGAUAAGCGGAGGAACAACGAUGGCGGAGGCAAUCCCCUGGGACUGUUCUGACGCUCAUUCACGGAAGCGUGGGGAGCAAACAGGAUUAGAUACCCUGGUAGUCCACUCCCUAAACGAUGUCCACUGGUUGUUGGGUCUUCAUUGACUCAGUAACGAAGCUAACGCGUGAAGUUAUCCGCCUGGGGAGUACGGCCGCAAGGUUGAAACUCAAAUGAAUUGACGGGG
rnacentral:rRNA from 1 species